rnacentral:rRNA from 1 species
AGGGCGCAUGGUGAAUGCCUUGGCAUCAGGAGCCGAUGAAGGACGUGAUAAGCUGCGAUAAGCUUCGGGUAGGCGCACAUAGCCAGUGAUCCGGAGAUUUCCGAAUGUGGGAACACACAUGGGAAACCCCAUGUAUCGUAUAGUGAAUACAUAGCUAUACGAGGGUAAACCUAGGGAACUGAAACAUCUAAGUACCUAGAGGAAGAGAAAGAAAAAUCGAUUUCCUAAGUAGCGGCGAGCGAAAGGGAAAGAGCCCAAACCAAAGAUUUAUCUUUGGGGUUGCGGACAGAACAUUAACGAGAAGUCGUGAUUAACCGAACACAACUGGAAAGUUGGACCGUAGGAGGUAAUAGUCCUGUAGGUGAAAGUCAAGAUAAUCAAGUUCUGAUCCAGAGUACCACGAGACACGUGAAACCUUGUGGGAAGCAGGGAGGACCACCUCCCAAGGCUAAAUACUACCUGAUGACCGAUAGUGAAGCAGUACCGUGAGGGAAAGGUGAAAAGAACCCCGGGAGGGGAGUGAAAUAGAACCUGAAACCGUGUGCCUACAACCGGUCAAAGCCCCUUAUGAGGGUGAUGACGUGCUUUUUGUAGAACGAGCCAACGAGUUACGGUAUGUAGCAAGGUUAAGUACUUAAGGUACGGAGCCGAAGGGAAACCGAGUCUUAAUAGGGCGACUAGUUGCAUGCCGUAGACCCGAAACCGGGUGACCUAUCCAUGGCCAGGUUGAAGCGAGGGUAAAACUUCGUGGAGGACCGAACCACGUUGCUGUUGAAAAAGCAUGGGAUGAGCUGUGGAUAGCGGAGAAAUUCCAAUCGAACUCGGAGAUAGCUGGUUCUCCCCGAAAUAGCUUUAGGGCUAGCGUUGAUUUAGAUUACCGGAGGUAAAGCACUGAAUGGGCUAGGGGGCGAUAAGCUUACUGAACCCUAUCAAACUCUGAAUGCCGGAUAAUUGAUGGAUAGCAGUCAGACAGUGUGAGAUAAGUUUCAUUGUCAAAAGGGAAACAGCCCAGACCCACAGCUAAGGUCCCAAAGUACGGUUAAGUGGAAAAGGAUGUGGAGUUGCACAGACAACCAGGAUGUUGGCUCAGAAGCAGCCACUCAUUUAAAGAGUGCGUAAUAGCUCACUGGUCGAGUGAUUCUGCGCCGAAAAUUUCCGGGGCUAAAACUUACUACCGAAGCUACGGCAUCAUUAUGAUGGGUAGGGGAGCUUUCUAUGCGGCUUGAAGCAUGACCGUAAGGACAUGUGGACUGCAUAGAAGUGAGAAUGUUGGCAUGAGUAGCGAGAUGUGGGUGAGAAUCCCACAGGCCGUAAACCCAAGGUUUCCAGGGGAAGGUUCGUCCGCCCUGGGUUAGUCAGGACCUAAGCCGAGGCCGAAAGGCGUAGGUGAUGGACAACAGGUUGAUAUUCCUGUACCACCAAUAACCGUUUGAGAAAUGGGAUGACACAGUAGGAUAAGCUAACCGCACUGUUGGUUAUGUGCGGGCAAGUAUUGAGGCAGUUCCGAUAGGCAAAUCCGUCGGAAUAAUGCUGGGGUACGAUGCGGAGCGAAAUUUAGUAGCGAAGUAGCUGAUUUCACACUGUCGAGAAAAGUCUCUAUCGAGGUUAAAGGUGCCUGUACCGCAAACCGACACAGGUGGGUGAGGAGAGUAUCCUAAGGCCAGCGAGAGAACUGUUGUUAAGGAACUCGGCAAAAUGACCCCGUAACUUCGGGAGAAGGGGUGCCUUCGAAAGAAGGCCGCAGAGAAUAGGCCCAAGCGACUGUUUACCAAAAACAUAGGUUUCUGCUAAGUCGCAAGACGAUGUAUAGGAGCUGACGCCUGCCCGGUGCUGGAAGGUUAAGGGGAUCUGUUAGAGCAAUCGAAGCAGUGAACUUAAGCCCCAGUAAACGGCGGCCGUAACUAUAACGGUCCUAAGGUAGCGAAAUUCCUUGUCAGGUAAGUUCUGACCCGCACGAAUGGCGUAAUGACUUGGGCACUGUCUCAACUGCAAAUCCGGCGAAGUUGUAGUGCGAGUGAAGAUGCUCGCUACCCGCGAUUGGACGGAAAGACCCCGUAGAGCUUUACUGUAGCUUAGCAUUGAAUUCCGGUAUUGUCUGUACAGGAUAGGUGGGAGACUGGGAAACUAGGGCGUCAGCCUUAGUGGAGUCAACCUUGGGAUACCACCCUGACAGUACUGGGGUUCUAACAGGACGCCAUGAAGCUGGUGACUGGACAUUGUUAGGUGGGCAGUUUGACUGGGGCGGUCGCCUCCUAAAAAGUAACGGAGGCGCCCAAAGGUUCCCUCAGAACGGUCGGAAAUCGUUCGUAGAGUGCAAAGGCAGAAGGGAGCCUGACUGCGAGACCUACAAGUCGAGCAGGGACGAAAGUCGGGCUUAGUGAUCCGGUGGUACCUCGUGGGAGGGCCAUCGCUCAACGGAUAAAAGCUACCUCGGGGAUAACAGGCUGAUCUCCCCCAAGAGUCCACAUCGACGGGGAGGUUUGGCACCUCGAUGUCGGCUCGUCGCAUCCUGGGGCUG